CAGAGUCUCCUCUACAGCCUGCCAGUAAACUGGACAGGAGAGUCAGCUGGAGAGUAUCGGGUAACCCCACAGGGUCACCACUGCAGGAAUGCCAUCUCAAGGAGAAUAGAUAUUCCAGGAUCCAGAGGGUGCAGGAGCAGCACAAAGACUUGUCAGAGGGAUGACCUGAGGUCCAAAGUGGGUCUCAGCCUCCCUCCUUCUUCAGUGCCAUCACUAGGCCUAUUUACCCGGACCUGUUCUCACUUCAGUCUUCUGCUGUCACAGUGCUUGAUUUGAGGAGAACGUGCUGAGUGUCAGCGAGAGCCACCCAGUCAUGCGCUCUCAGAACAGAGUCCACAGUGACCCUGAGGUGAUGGAAGAAGAUACUUCAGCUCAUAGCCCAGCUGCUUAUUCCUGAGCAUGGGCAACUCCAGAUGCUCUGCAGUGAAGAUUUGGUCACGGUCCUGACAUCCGGAGUACCUGGGAUAUCGGAGUGAAGAAAAGAACCCUACUUGACCGACUUCGUAUGUAUGAGGAUCUGAUGACCUAAUAACACGUCCUUCCUCUAGACCAGGAAGUGCUUUAUCUGAGGCCUAGUUCGGGGGUGAACCUCCCGAGCAGGCAUGUUAGUAAUAAAUGAGCAAACAAAUAAACAAGUUCCACUCUUGUCC